GAAAUUGAAAUCGCUGUGAAGAUGCAGUGUACCCGCGGCUAGACGGAAAGACCCCGUGAACCUUUACUACAGCUUGGCACUGAACAUUGACCCUACAUGUGUAGGAUAGGUGGGAGGCUUUGAAGCACGUACGCCAGUAUGUGUGGAGCCGUCCUUGAAAUACCACCCUUGUAGUGUUGAUGUUCUAACGUCGACCCCUUAUCGGGGUUGCGGACAGUGCCUGGUGGGUAGUUUGACUGGGGCGGUCUCCUCCCAAAGAGUAACGGAGGAGCACGAAGGUGGGCUAAUCACGGUUGGACAUCGUGAGGUUAGUGCAAUGGCAUAAGC
rnacentral:rRNA from 1 species